GGGGGGGUGGCAAGCGUUACUCGGGAAUUAUUGGGGUGUAAAGGGCAAGUAGGCGGUCUAAUAAGUGAGGGGUGAAAUCUUCCGACUCAAUCGGGAAAACUGCCUUUCAAACUGUUAGACUUGAGGCAGGAAGAGGGAAAUGGAAUUCCAGGUGUAAGGGUGAAAUCUGUAGAUAUCUGGAAGAACACCAGCUGCGAAGGCGAUUUCCUGGUCCUGUCCUGACGCUGAAUUGCGAAAGCUAGGGGAGCAAACAGAAUUAGAUACUCUGGUAGUCCUAGCUGUAAACGAUGAGCACUAGAUGUUGGGUCCUUUCGGGGAUCAGUGUCGCAGCUAACGCAUUAAGUGCUCCACCUGGGGACUACGGUCGCAAGGCUA
rnacentral:rRNA from 1 species